CCCCCUUCCCCAAUCUAGAUUCAAUGGUGCCCCUUAAAACAUCAUCUUCACGUAGGAAGUCGGAGGGCCUACCCCCUUCCCCAAUCUAGAUUCAAUGAUGCCUUUUAAAGUUUUUCAAGAUAACAUUACCUUCACGUAGGAAGUCGGAGGGCCUACCUCCUUCCCCAAUCUAGAUUCAAUAAUGCAACCUUGAAAUAAAUUUUAGCUUGGCUUUUUAUAAACUCCUUUAUACUAACUUAUACUAUUUUUACUUUGAGAAUUUUUAAAGGUUAACGUACCACUAAAAUUAGAACGCAUUUCCUUAAAAUACCUAUUCAUACAUUUACUCAAGGGA
rnacentral:lncRNA from 1 species